AGGACGAACGCUGGCGGCGUGCUUAACACAUGCAAGUCGAGCGGAAAGGCCCUUCGGGGUACUCGAGCGGCGAACGGGUGAGUAACACGUGAGCAACCUGCCCUUAGCUUCGGGAUAGCUCCGGGAAACCGGAAUUAAUACCGGAUAUGACUAUGGCCGACAUCAGCCAUGGUGGAAAGUUUUUCGGCUAGGGAUGGACUCGCGGCCUAUCAGCUAGUUGGUGAGGUAACGGCUCACCAAGGCGACGACGGGUAGCCGGCCUGAGAGGGCGACCGGCCACACUGGGACUGAGACACGGCCCAGACUCCUACGGGAGGCAGCAGUGGGGAAUAUUGCGCAAUGGGCGAAAGCCUGACGCAGCGACGCCGCGUGGGGGAUGAAUGCCUUCGGGUUGUAACCCCUUUCAGCAGGACGAAGCGAAAGUGACGGUACCUGCAGAAGAAGCGCCGGCUAACUACGUGCCAGCAGCCGC
rnacentral:rRNA from 1 species